rnacentral:tRNA from 1 species
UCCCUGGUGAUCCUUUGGUUAAGACUCUGUGCUUCCAAUGCAGAGGGCACAGGUUUGAUCCCUGGUCAGGGAA